UCUGGUGACAAUGUUAGAGAACGCUUACCAUU
rnacentral:piRNA from 1 species